GCCAGCAUGGUGUAGUGGUUUGAGCAUCAGACUAGGACUCUGGAGACCAAGGUUCGAAUCACCAUUCAGCCA
rnacentral:tRNA from 1 species